UUAAUAUUAUACUGUAAAGAAAUUUAUAUUUAAUUUUAAUUUAUUACCUUUUGCAUAAUGGUUUAAUAAUAAUAAUAUUUAGAAUUUUAUAUCCCGAAGUUAGAAGAUCUAAUUAUAUUAAUUUAUUAGAAAUAUUUUAUAAUGUUUCAAAAUUAUAAGUAUAAAUUUAAUUAGGGGUGAAAGGCUUAUCAAUUCUAAAGAUAUCUGGAAUAAUUUUAAAUGUAUUUAGUACAAGAUUUAAUUUGAAUAAAAAAAUGUUAAGGUUUUUUUAUUUUAUAGAAUAUUUAAUUAUAAUAAUAUAUGGAUUAAUCUUCUGAUAUAUUUUUAAUUAGAUAAUUUAUUAUUAAUAAUAUCUAUAUAAUAAAAUUCUAUUUAAAUAAUUUUUUGUAAAAUAAACUAUGUUAAAAUUAGUAUUAUACUUUUAUUUUAUUAAGGAACUCGGCUAAUUAUUAUUCACCUGUUUAUCAAAAACAUAGUCUUAUGUUAAUAUAUAUAAGAUGUAACCUGCCCAUUGAUUAUAAUAUUUAACGGCCGCAGUACCUUGACUGUGCUAAGGUAGCAUAAUAAAUUGACUCUUAAUUGGGGCCUUGAAUGAAUGGAUAAAUGGAUAAUUUCUGUCUCAAUAAAAAAUAUUAUAAAUUACUUAAAAGGUGAAAAUUCCUUUGAAAAAAUUAAAUAGACGAGAAGACCCUAGGAGUUUUAAUUUUUGUUGGGGCGACAAUAUAGCAAAUAACCUAUAUAAAUAUUAUUAAUAUAACGAAUAGUUUUAAUUUAAAAUAAACUACCCUAGGGAUAACAGCAUAAUUUACUAUAAGUUUGUGACCUCGAUGUUGGACUAGGAACUUUUAAGACUAACAGUAUUAAUUGGUAGUUCUGUUCGA
rnacentral:rRNA from 1 species